rnacentral:rRNA from 1 species
GCAGCGAAAUGCGAUACGUAGUGUGAAUUGCAGAAUUCCGUGAACCAUCGAAUCUUUGAACGCAAAUUGCGCUCGAGGCUUCGGCCAAGAGCAUGUCUGCCUCAGCGUCGGCU